rnacentral:rRNA from 1 species
GACGAACGCUGGCGGCGUGCUUAAUACAUGCAAGUAGAACGCACAGUUUAUACUGUAGCUUGCUACUCCAUAAACUGUGAGUUGCGUACGGGUGAGUAACGCGUAGGUAACCUGCCUGGUAGCGGGGGGUAACUAUUGGAAACGCUAGCUAAUAGCGCCUAAUAUUGAUUGUUGCUUGAUAAUUGUUUGAAAGAUGCUAUUGCAUCACUACUAGUUGGCCCUGCGUUGUAUUAGCUAGUAGGUGAGGUAACGGCUCACCUAGGCGACGAUACAUAGCCGACCUGAGAGGGUGGUCAGCCGGACUGGGAGUGAGACACGGCCCAGACUGCUUCAGGAAGCAGCAGGAGGGAAUCUUGGGCAAGGGACGAAAGACUGACCGAGCAACGCCGCGGGAGUAAAGAAGGUCUUCGGAUCGUAAAGCUCGGUUGUAGGGUAAGAACGGGUGUGAGAGUGGAAAGUUCACACUGUGACGGUAACGUACCAGAAAGGGACGGCUAACUACGUG